rnacentral:rRNA from 1 species
UACGGAGGGUGCAAACGUUGCUCGGAAUCAUUGGGCGUAAAGCGCGUGUAGGCGGUUUGUUAAGUCGCGUGUGAAAGCCCUGGGCUUAACCCAGGAAUUGCGCGCGAAACUGGCAAGCUCGAGGUCGGGAGAGGGUAGCGGAAUUCCCGGUGUAGAGGUGAAAUUCGUAGAUAUCGGGAGGAACACCAGUGGCGAAGGCGGCUACCUGGACCGAUACUGACGCUGAGACGCGAAAGCGUGGGGAG